GGUGGGAGAUGGGGCCGCGCAGCGAGCGGAGAGGCCCCGCGGUUGCGACGCUGCUGUCACUGUGAGAACUGGAGCAACUCACUUCUCCCUGCUCCCUCCAUCCUUUGCUGUGGCUGUUUUGAGAGUCACCUCCGGUCCAUGGACUCUCCUGUACCAUGUACUUAGCUGGAUCUGAGGAGUCAUAGCAUCAUGCAGCACAGACCCAUUGCAGAAGCAGCAGGUCCAGCAGGUCCGACCUGAUGCUCACAUGCACCGCAAGCUCCGACUGUGUGCAGAGCUCGGGACUCAUGCUGGAAAUGGAGUGGAUUGCUGUGAGAGGAAUCUGCACAGUCAGCAGGCGGCCGCCCUUCCUUGCUGCAGAACAGCUCAGCUUUUGGGCAUCCCCACCGGGACACCCCAUCUGCUUUCCCUCCCCCUUCUUGCAGCCCAGCGUGCAUUUCAUCCCCUUUGCAGCCUUGUUGCCUUCCUGGCAGCACAGCCUGCAGUGGGGCUCCCCACGGCCACGGCUGUGGGCUGCAAACCCUGGCAAAGGUGCACGAGCAGAUGUGAUCCUGGCUGAUCCUGCUGCAAAUUGAGACUUCAUUUUCCCCUUUGACUGUAUG